GACAGAGGUGGUAAGCGUUGUUCGGAUUUAUUGGGUGUAAAGGGCAGGUAGGUGGUCGGGUAAGUCUGAUGUGAAAUCCCAUGGCUCAACCGUGGAACUGCAUUGGAAACUGCCUGACUUGAGUAUCGGAGAGGUGAAGGGAAUUCUCGGUGUAAGGGUGAAAUCUGUAGAUAUCGAGAGGAACACCAGUGGCGAAGGCGCUUCACUGGCCGAUUACUGACGCUCAGGGGCGAAAGCGUGGGGAGCAAACCGG
rnacentral:rRNA from 1 species